rnacentral:rRNA from 1 species
UUAAGCGACUAAGCGUACACGGUGGAUGCCCUGGCAGUCAGAGGCGAUGAAGGACGUGCUAAUCUGCGAUAAGCGUCGGUAAGGUGAUAUGAACCGUUAUAACCGGCGAUUUCCGAAUGGGGAAACCCAGUGUGUUUCGACACACUAUCAUUAACUGAAUCCAUAGGUUAAUGAGGCGAACCGGGGGAACUGAAACAUCUAAGUACCCCGAGGAAAAGAAAUCAACCGAGAUUCCCCCAGUAGCGGCGAGCGAACGGGGAGCAGCCCAGAGCCUGAAUCAGUGUGUGUGUUAGUGGAAGCGUCUGGAAAGGCGCGCGAUACAGGGUGACAGCCCCGUACACAAAAAUGCACAUGCUGUGAGCUCGAUGAGUAGGGCGGGACACGUGGUAUCCUGUCUGAAUAUGGGGGGACCAUCCUCCAAGGCUAAAUACUCCUGACUGACCGAUAGUGAACCAGUACCGUGAGGGAAAGGCGAAAAGAACCCCGGCGAGGGGAGUGAAAAAGAACCUGAAACCGUGUACGUACAAGCAGUGGGAGCACGCUUAGGCGUGUGACUGCGUACCUUUUGUAUAAUGGGUCAGCGACUUAUAUUCUGUAGCAAGGUUAACCGAAUAGGGGAGCCGAAGGGAAACCGAGUCUUAACUGGGCGUUAAGUUGCAGGGUAUAGACCCGAAACCCGGUGAUCUAGCCAUGGGCAGGUUGAAGGUUGGGUAACACUAACUGGAGGACCGAACCGACUAAUGUUGAAAAAUUAGCGGAUGACUUGUGGCUGGGGGUGAAAGGCCAAUCAAACCGGGAGAUAGCUGGUUCUCCCCGAAAGCUAUUUAGGUAGCGCCUCGUGAAUUCAUCUCCGGGGGUAGAGCACUGUUUCGGCAAGGGGGUCAUCCCGACUUACCAACCCGAUGCAAACUGCGAAUACCGGAGAAUGUUAUCACGGGAGACACACGGCGGGUGCUAACGUCCGUCGUGAAGAGGGAAACAACCCAGACCGCCAGCUAAGGUCCCAAAGUCAUGGUUAAGUGGGAAACGAUGUGGGAAGGCCCAGACAGCCAGGAUGUUGGCUUAGAAGCAGCCAUCAUUUAAAGAAAGCGUAAUAGCUCACUGGUCGAGUCGGCCUGCGCGGAAGAUGUAACGGGGCUAAACCAUGCACCGAAGCUGCGGCAGCGACACUAUGUGUUGUUGGGUAGGGGAGCGUUCUGUAAGCCUGUGAAGGUGUGCUGUGAGGCAUGCUGGAGGUAUCAGAAGUGCGAAUGCUGACAUAAGUAACGAUAAAGCGGGUGAAAAGCCCGCUCGCCGGAAGACCAAGGGUUCCUGUCCAACGUUAAUCGGGGCAGGGUGAGUCGACCCCUAAGGCGAGGCCGAAAGGCGUAGUCGAUGGGAAACAGGUUAAUAUUCCUGUACUUGGUGUUACUGCGAAGGGGGGACGGAGAAGGCUAUGUUGGCCGGGCGACGGUUGUCCCGGUUUAAGCGUGUAGGCUGGUUUUCCAGGCAAAUCCGGAAAAUCAAGGCUGAGGCGUGAUGACGAGGCACUACGGUGCUGAAGCAACAAAUGCCCUGCUUCCAGGAAAAGCCUCUAAGCAUCAGGUAACAUCAAAUCGUACCCCAAACCGACACAGGUGGUCAGGUAGAGAAUACCAAGGCGCUUGAGAGAACUCGGGUGAAGGAACUAGGCAAAAUGGUGCCGUAACUUCGGGAGAAGGCACGCUGAUAUGUAGGUGAAGCGACUUGCUCGUGGAGCUGAAAUCAGUCGAAGAUACCAGCUGGCUGCAACUGUUUAUUAAAAACACAGCACUGUGCAAACACGAAAGUGGACGUAUACGGUGUGACGCCUGCCCGGUGCCGGAAGGUUAAUUGAUGGGGUCAGCGCAAGCGAAGCUCUUGAUCGAAGCCCCGGUAAACGGCGGCCGUAACUAUAACGGUCCUAAGGUAGCGAAAUUCCUUGUCGGGUAAGUUCCGACCUGCACGAAUGGCGUAAUGAUGGCCAGGCUGUCUCCACCCGAGACUCAGUGAAAUUGAACUCGCUGUGAAGAUGCAGUGUACCCGCGGCAAGACGGAAAGACCCCGUGAACCUUUACUAUAGCUUGACACUGAACAUUGAGCCUUGAUGUGUAGGAUAGGUGGGAGGCUUGGAAGUGUGGACGCCAGUCUGCAUGGAGCCGACCUUGAAAUACCACCCUUUAAUGUUUGAUGUUCUAACGUUGACCCGUAAUCCGGGUUGCGGACAGUGUCUGGUGGGUAGUUUGACUGGGGCGGUCUCCUCCUAAAGAGUAACGGAGGAGCACGAAGGUUGGCUAAUCCUGGUCGGACAUCAGGAGGUUAGUGCAAUGGCAUAAGCCAGCUUGACUGCGAGCGUGACGGCGCGAGCAGGUGCGAAAGCAGGUCAUAGUGAUCCGGUGGUUCUGAAUGGAAGGGCCAUCGCUCAACGGAUAAAAGGUACUCCGGGGAUAACAGGCUGAUACCGCCCAAGAGUUCAUAUCGACGGCGGUGUUUGGCACCUCGAUGUCGGCUCAUCACAUCCUGGGGCUGAAGUAGGUCCCAAGGGUAUGGCUGUUCGCCAUUUAAAGUGGUACGCGAGCUGGGUUUAGAACGUCGUGAGACAGUUCGGUCCCUAUCUGCCGUGGGCGCUGGAGAACUGAGGGGGGCUGCUCCUAGUACGAGAGGACCGGAGUGGACGCAUCACUGGUGUUCGGGUUGUCAUGCCAAUGGCACUGCCCGGUAGCUAAAUGCGGAAGAGAUAAGUGCUGAAAGCAUCUAAGCACGAAACUUGCCCCGAGAUGAGUUCUCCCUGACCCUUUAAGGGUCCUGAAGGAACGUUGAAGACGACGACGUUGAUAGGCCGGGUGUGUAAGCGCAGCGAUGCGUUGAGCUAACCGGUACUAAUGAACCGUGAGGCUUAACCUU